rnacentral:rRNA from 1 species
AUGACGAGGACCAGCGGCGCGAACGGCGGCGGGCAGCAGGGGUCGGGGAAGCUCCCGCGGAAGCGCUUCUACCGGGCGCGCGCGCACAGCAACCCGCUCAGCGACUCGCACUUCCCGAUCCCGAUAUCGCCCGACGACGUCGACCUCUCGCAGCACUACCCGCGCUACUUCCCGGCCGACAAGGGCGAGCACGGUGAUGGGGGUGGGGACGCGGAGGCGCCCCGGAUCCGUUUCGCGGACGUCGGGUGCGGGUUUGGUGGGCUGCUCGUCGGGCUCUCGCCUCUCUUCCCCGACAAGCUCAUGAUCGGCAUGGAGCUGAGGGACAAGGUGACCGAGUAUGUCAAAGAGCGGGUUCUGGCUUUGAGAGCAUCAAACCCAGGACAGUAUGACAACAUAUCCGUUGUGCGCACCAAUUCAAUGAAAUACAUUCCUAACUACUUCGGAAAGGCUCAGCUCUCCAAAAUGUUCUUCCUGUUCCCUGAUCCUCACUUCAAGGAGAAGAACCACCGGAGGAGGGUGAUUAGCAUGCAUUUGCUCGAUGAAUACGCUUACGUGAUGGAAGUGGGAGGAAUCAUAUACACUAUUACUGAUGUAGAGGAGCUUGGUAUAUGGAUGCGCACGUGUCUGGAGAAGCACCCACUCUUCGAAGCUGUUCCCGAGGAAGAGAUAAAAGUCGAUCCAGUUGUGAAGCUACUGUCUAGUGCCACCGAAGAAGGUCAGAAGGUCGCGCGGAAUGGAGGGCAGACUUUCCAGGCCAUCUUCAGGCACAUCUCCUUGCAAGAGGAAUAA